ACGAACUCUGGUAUUGAUUGGUGCUUGCAUCAUGAUUUACAUUUGAGUGAGUGGCGAACUGGUGAGUAACACGUGGGAAACCUGCCCAGAAGCGGGGGAUAACACCUGGAAACAGAUGCUAAUACCGCAUAACAACUUGGACCGCAUGGUCCGAGUUUGAAAGAUGGCUUCGGCUAUCACUUUUGGAUGGUCCCGCGGCGUAUUAGCUAGAUGGUGGGGUAACGGCUCACCAUGGCAAUGAUACGUAGCCGACCUGAGAGGGUAAUCGGCCACAUUGGGACUGAGACACGGCCCAAACUCCUACGGGAGGCAGCAGUAGGGAAUCUUCCACAAUGGACGAAAGUCUGAUGGAGCAACGCCGCGUGAGUGAAGAAGGGUUUCGGCUCGUAAAACUCUGUUGUUAAAGAAGAACAUAUCUGAGAGUAACUGUUCAGGUAUUGACGGUAUUUAACCAGAAAGCCACGGCUAACUACGUGCCAGCAGCCGCGGUAAUACGUAGGUGGCAAGCGUUGUCCGGAUUUAUUGGGCGUAAAGCGAGCGCAGGCGGUUUUUUAAGUCUGAUGUGAAAGCCUUCGGCUCAACCGAAGAAGUGCAUCGGAAACUGGGAAACUUGAGUGCAGAAGAGGACAGUGGAACUCCAUGUGUAGCGGUGAAAUGCGUAGAUAUAUGGAAGAACACCAGUGGCGAAGGCGGCUGUCUGGUCUGUAACUGACGCUGAGGCUCGAAAGUAUGGGUAGCAAACAGGAUUAGAUACCCUGGUAGUCCAUACCGUAAACGAUGAAUGCUAAGUGUUGGAGGGUUUCCGCCCUUCAGUGCUGCAGCUAACGCAUUAAGCAUUCCGCCUGGGGAGUACGGGCCGCAAGGCUGAAACUCAAAGGAAUUUGACGGGGGSCCGCACAAGCGGUGGAGCAUGUGGUUUAAUUCGAAGCUACGCGAAGAACCUUACCAGGUCUUGACAUACUAUGCAAAUCUAAGAGAUUAGACGUUCCCUUCGGGGACAUGGAUACAGGUGGUGCAUGGUUGUCGUCAGCUCGUGUCGUGAGAUGUUGGGUUAAGUCCCGCAACGAGCGCAACCCUUAUUAUCAGUUGCCAGCAUUAAGUUGGGCACUCUGGUGAGACUGCCGGUGACAAACCGGAGGAAGGUGGGGAUGACGUCAAAUCAUCAUGCCCCUUAUGACCUGGGCUACACACGUGCUACAAUGGAUGGUACAACGAGUUGCGAACUCGCGAGAGUAAGCUAAUCUCUUAAAGCCAUUCUCAGUUCGGAUUGUAGGCUGCAACUCGCCUACAUGAAGUCGGAAUCGCUAGUAAUCGCGGAUCAGCAUGCCGCGGUGAAUACGUUCCCGGGCCUUGUACACACCGCCCGUCACACCAUGAGAGUUUGUAACACCCAAAGUCGGUGGGGUAACCUUUUAGGAACC
rnacentral:rRNA from 1 species